UCCUCGACCCCCGAGACCCCGCCAGCAAAGGCUAGCGUGUAACUGUAAUUAAGCUCCUCCAUGACCAUUGUGGAGAAUCUGGAAAAGGACCGAAAAGAACUGAAAGAAACAAAGUCACCAGAAAUCCUUCCCUUUGGUGGAAAUGCCUUGGCCAGCUGCUCUGUGCGCAGGGAGGACAGUUUCUCUUCAUUUGCUACUUCACAUGCUUUGAUAAUCAUCAACGUCCCGAGUAAUUAGUUCAUUUGGAAUCAAGGAACUUCGCAACUGGGAGGUGACCUCGGAGCUCCGAAGCCAGGGACUGACAUGCGAGCCAGAUCAUCCUGUAGAAAGAGGCUCAGCCCACACCCCAAAAUACCACUCCACUUCCACAGCCCCCUAAAGGCGCCUCUCAGCCUUAAAAAAUUCAUACGUAGACCCAGAAAUUUCACUAAUGAGAGUCUCUCCUAAGGAAAGAAUUCUAAAUAUAGAAAAAAACGCUCCAGCACAAGGGUAUCAGAGCGGCUUUCUCUGGAAGAGUGGCUAAUUAGAGACAACCUAAUUGUCCAACGACGGGGGACCAGCGUCCGCAUGACAGCGAACCACAUCAUUAGCCUGACGAGCCAGGAAGGACACAGGAUCGCGUUAUCGUCAGGAUCCUGCUUUUCACUCACAAGUGGGAUGAGCGCAGCCAAAGGACAUUUUUUAAAAGCACGGAACAGGGACUCCAAGGACAUUCACUAAAAUAUCAACAGAAGCUCGCGGCGGCUGCCGAGAAUGUGGGCCACUGCUUUUCCCCUUUGCCCUACUUCUCUGAAAUCGUCCGACUUUCUGGGAUAAACAUAC